rnacentral:rRNA from 1 species
AUUGAACGCUGGCGGCAGGCUUAACACAUGCAAGUCGAGCGGAGAUGAGGUGCUUGCACCUUAUCUUAGCGGCGGACGGGUGAGUAAUGCUUAGGAAUCUGCCUAUUAGUGGGGGACAACAUUCCGAAAGGAAUGCUAAUACCGCAUACGUCCUACGGGAGGAAGCAGGGGAUCUUCGGACCUUGCGCUAAUAGAUGAGCCUAAGUCGGAUUAGCUAGUUGGUGGGGUAAAGGCCUACCAAGGCGACGAUCUGUAGCGGGUCUGAGAGGAUGAUCCGCCACACUGGGACUGAGACACGGCCCAGACUCCUACGGGAGGCAGCAGUGGGGAAUAUUGGACAAUGGGGGGAAGCCUGAUCCAGCCAUGCCGCGUGUGUGAAGAAGGCCUUAUGGUUGUAAAGCACUUUAAGCGAGGAGGAGGCUACUGAGACUAAUACUCUUGGAUAGUGGACGUUACUCGCAGAAUAAGCACCGGCUAACUCUGUGCCAGCCGCCGCGGUAAUAC